rnacentral:sRNA from 1 species
GAGAAUUUACAGCGCCGCGCGUCUUAUCAGGCACGCAAAGGUCGCCGGAGCAAU